rnacentral:rRNA from 1 species
CCCGCACAAGCGGUGGAGCAUGUGGUUUAAUUCGAUGCAACGCGAAGAACCUUACCUACCCUUGACAUCCAGAGAAUCUGUUAGAGAUAGUAGAGUGCCUUCGGGAACUCUGAGACAGGUGCUGCAUGGCUGUCGUCAGCUCGUGUUGUGAAAUGUUGGGUUAAGUCCCGUAACGAGCGCAACCCUUAUCCUUAGUUGCCAGCACAUAAUGGUGGGAACUCUAGGGAGACUGCCGGUGAUAAACCGGAGGAAGGUGAGGACGACGUCAAGUCAUCAUGGCCCUUAUGGGUAGGGCUACACACGUGCUACAAUGGCCAGUACAGAGGGCUGCGAACUUGCGAAAGUAAGCGAAUCCCAGAAAGCUGGUCUUAGUCCGGAUUGGAGUCUGCAACUCGACUCCAUGAAGUUGGAAUCGCUAGUAAUCGCGAAUCAGAACGUCGCGGUGAAUACGUUCCCGGGCCUUGUACACACCGCCCGUCACACCAUGGGAGUGGGUUGCAAAAGAAGUGGGUAGACUAACCUUCGGGAGGUCGCUCACCACUUUGUGAUUCAUGACUGGGGUGAAGUCGUAACAAGGUA